GACGAACGCUGGCGGCGCGCUUAACACAUGCAAGUCGAGCGAGAACCAGGGCUUCGGCCCUGGGGACAGCGGCGAACGGGUGAGUAACACGUGGAUAACCUGCCCUCGGCACCGGGAUAGCCCGGGGAAACCCGGAUUAAUACCGGAUGGCCCUUCCGGCUUUCGAGCUGGUCGGAAAAGGUAGCUUCGGCCUCCGGCCGAGGAUGGGGCCGCGGGGGAUUAGCUAGUUGGUGGGGGAAGGGCCUACCAAGGGCGACGAUCGGUAGCGGGUCUGAGAGGACGAUCAGCCACACUGGGACUGAGACACGGCCCAGACUCCUACGGGAGGCAGCAGUGGGGAAUCUUGCGCAAUGGGCGAAAGCCUGACGCAGCGACGCCGCGUGAGGGAGGAAGGCCUUCGGGUCGUAAACCUCUUUCAGGAGGGACGAAGCUACUCGGGUUAAUAGCCCAGAGGGUGACGGUACCUCCAGAAGAAGCCCCGGCUAACUACGUGCCAGCCGCCGCCGUAAUAC
rnacentral:rRNA from 1 species